rnacentral:rRNA from 1 species
GACUGACCAUCCUGGCCCGCUUCCUUCGGGGAGUGAGUGCUGGUAUGAGUCUGUCAUCCUUCUAGUGCGCCAUGCCUGCUGUUCACUCAGCUGGGCGUGUGCGAGCUAGAUCUUUUACUUUGAAAAAAUUAGAGUGUUUAAAGCAGGCUUACGCUGUGAAUACAUUAGCAUGGAAUAAUAAUAUAGGACUUUGGUCUUAUUUUGUUGGUUCUGAGGACUGAAGUA